AACACCGCAUUGUGAACGUAUUAAGUUAGCGAACGAUUUCUGGUUCAGUAUUAAGUCAGACAACUUGCGUUCACAGAGGGCGAAAACGGAAAGUCUCAAGCAGGAGCCAUAAUUUCUACAAAGAGACUUGUCUUCGUCAGGGGCCAUCUGCAUUUCUAAGAACGAAGCCCAAACAUACUCAGCUCCUGGGAGCUUGCCUGAGCCUACCUCUGGACUCCUGCAGCCUUUACAACAGCAGCAUGUGACACCAGUGCAGCCCAGCAAGCUUCUGUCUCAGCGUUUGUCACCACUGUGUCUGAAAGGCGCCACAUUCCCAUGGCUAUCUUUUUGUCGUAGCGGCGGACUGCUAUUGGCCUGCCAGGCGUUGACAUUAGGAGUAUGAUCUAAUGCAUCCAUCGAUCGCCUACCUGUUUUCAGCAGGUGCGGAUGUAUUCACUAAGAAGUGAGGCAGGCUGUCUGCCAAGAGCUUUGAAAUAGUGCUGUUGCUUAAAUUAAAGUUGUAGUUGUCAGCAA
rnacentral:lncRNA from 1 species